rnacentral:rRNA from 1 species
AAAUUGAAGAGUUUGAUCAUGGCUCAGAUUGAACGCUGGCGGCAGGCCUAACACAUGCAAGUCGAACGGUAACAGGAAGCAGCUUGCUGCUUCGCUGACGAGUGGCGGACGGGUGAGUAAUGUCUGGGAAACUGCCUGAUGGAGGGGGGUAACUACUGGAAACGGUAGCUAAUACCGCAUAA